GACGAACCGUGCGAACGUUAUUCGGAAUCACUGGGCUUAAAGGGCGCGUAGGCGGGCAGUCAAGUCAGGGGUGAAAUCCCACGGCUCAACCGUGGAAGGGCCUUUGAUACUGGCUGUCUCGAGGGAGGUAGGGGCGUGCGGAACUUCCGGUGGAGCGGUGAAAUGCGUAGAUAUCGGAAGGAACGCCGGUGGCGAAAGCGGCGCGCUGGACCUCUUCUGACGCUGAGGCGCGAAAGCCAGGGGAGCAAACGGG
rnacentral:rRNA from 1 species